UGGCUGUCGUCAGCUCGUGUUGUGAAAUGUUGGGUUAAGUCCCGCAACGAGCGCAACCCUUAUCCUUGUUUGCCAGCGAGUAAUGUCGGGAACUCCAGGGAGACUGCCGGUGAUAAACCGGAGGAAGGUGGGGACGACGUCAAGUCAUCAUGGCCCUUACGAGUAGGGCUACACACGUGCUACAAUGGCGCAUACAGAGGGCAGCAAGCUAGCGAUAGUGAGCGAAUCCCAAAAAGUGCGUCGUAGUCCGGAUUGGAGUCUGCAACUCGACUCCAUGAAGUCGGAAUCGCUAGUAAUCGUGAAUCAGAAUGUCACGGUGAAUACGUUCCCGGGC
rnacentral:rRNA from 1 species